rnacentral:rRNA from 1 species
AUUGAACGCUGGCGGCAUGCUUUACACAUGCAAGUCGAACGGCAGCGCGGGCUUCGGCCUGGCGGCGAGUGGCGAACGGGUGAGUAAUACAUCGGAACGUGCCCAGUAGUGGGGGAUAGCGCGGCGAAAGCCGGAUUAAUACCGCAUAAGACCUGAGGGUGAAAGCGGGGGAUCUUCGGACCUCGCGCCAUUGGAGCGGCCGAUGGCGGAUUAGCUAGUUGGUGGGGUAAAGGCCUACCAAGACGACGAUCUGUAGCUGGUCUGAGAGGACGACCAGCCACACUGGAACUGAGACACGGCCCAGACUCCUACGGGAGGCAGCAGUGGGGAAUUUUGGACAAUGGGCGAAAGCCUGAUCCAGCAAUGCCGCGUGUGUGAUGAAGGCCUUCGGGUUGUAAAGCACUUUUGGCGGGAACGAAAAGGACUGUGCCAAUACCACGGUUCGAUGACGGUACCCGCAGAAUAAGCACCGGCUAACUACGUG